UAAAAGAUUGUUUUUGUACAUGUAUGUUGAAGAUGGGUAUUUUGUCCCCACUGUAGAACAUUUGUCCAAUUUUUAACUGUAUAUAUAUAUAUGCAUUAUCAUAUUUAUCACUUAUGAUAUUCAUUAACUAAUCAGCUCUUGAUGCAGAAAAGAAGAACUGAAUGUUUAGUACAUAAUCAGAAAAGACAGAAGAGAAGCUUACUCCAUUUCGAUAAAAUAGGGGGAAAAAAUGAAAAGUAUUUAGAGAAGAUAAGUUUUUGUUUUCAAAAAUUUGGGGUAAAGGAAAUCAUUAUAAGAGUAAAGUUUUCAUAAUACUGCAAAUAAUGUUACAGAUAGCAUUAAAUCACAAACCGUGUAAUGAUUAAAAAUCUUUUUAAUAUGAAGCUAUAUUUGUCCUCUUAUGCAGAAAUGUUGCAGAGAUUGGGCACAAGGGCAAAGGCUGUUAUGACUAUGAAAGCUUUGUAUGCUAUAUAUUUCAGUAGCUACAGAUCAAACCAUGCCUAGCCUCAGAUGAACUUAUUGUUAAUCAAUGUUCCAGAUAACAGGUGUUUCACAACAAUAUUUGUACACAUGUAUGUUUCUUGCCUCAAAGCUGCGAAUUGUUAUUGAAGGGUUGUGAGAAAAUCUUGUUAUUUUGUUGACAUUCCUAGAAUAUACUGUUAUUUUGGAUAAUGCAUUGUUAUUAAAUAAUAUAUGUAUAUUAAAUUUUAAAAAUGUUACUAUCUC
rnacentral:misc_RNA from 1 species